GUGCUCGCUUCAGGAGCACACAUACUAAAAAUUGAUACAAUACAGAGGAGAUUAGGAUGGCCCCUGCGCAAGGAUGGUACUCAAAUUCAUGAAGCGUUCCAUACUCUU
ensembl:snRNA U6 U6 spliceosomal RNA